rnacentral:lncRNA from 1 species
GGAGAGCUCUCUUUCUUCAUACCUGCCUUCACUUCCUAGGAGCUCAGAGUAUAGGCAGAUCCAGUCCAAGGGAGUGCUUGAAAGCACAGGGUGGAUCAGGGAGCUCCCCAUCCUCGACAGCCAGCACACCACUUCUAGGAGAAGCCCACACAGCCUGGUUAUCUGGAGCAGUUCAGUCUUCCGCUGGAUUCCAGACCCUCUAUCUCCAGGCCUUUGAUGGAGCAGAGACAAGCUGGAAAGCACAAGUCUAAAAUGGUUGGCACAGUGACCCUGGGGACCACCAUGAAGAGUCUCUCCUUUCGUCUCAGAAAGUUUGCUCUGCUUUGGGAAUUCCCCGAGCUGACUUUUUUUUUCAACUGCAUUACUUGAUUCUGGCUGAAGAGAGGGCCAAACUGGAUGCUUUGGGGGAAGAACGCCAAACUGGGUGCUGUGGAGGAAGAGAAGAAAAAAACAAACACAUUUGUACAUAGUUGGGGGCUGGGGAUGAAGCUCAGGAGAGAGUAUUUGUCUAGCAUGUGGAAAGCCCUGGGUUCAAUCCCAUCACUGAAAAGAAAGUAAAAAAUUAAUAGU